rnacentral:tRNA from 1 species
GGGCGAUUGGCUCAGUGGUAGAGCGCCUCGUUCACACCGAGGAGGUCGCUGGUUCGAACCCAGUAUCGCCCAC